rnacentral:rRNA from 1 species
GACGAACGCUGGCGGCGUGCUUAACACAUGCAAGUCGAACGGAAAGGCCCUGCUUUUGUGGGGUGCUCGAGUGGCGAACGGGUGAGUAUCACGUGAGUAACCUGCCCUUGUCUUUGGGAUAACUUCAGGAAACUGGGGCUAAUACAGGAUAGGAGAUCCUGCUGCAUGGUGGGCGUUGGAAAGUUUCGGCGGUUGGGGAUGGACUCGCGGCUUAUCAGCUUGUUGGUGGGGUAGUGGCUUACCAAGGCUUUGACGGGUAGCCGGCCUGAGAGGGGGACCGGGGACAAGAGGACUAAGGGACGCCGCAGUCGCGUACGGGAGGCAACAGGGGAGAGUAUGGCACAGUGAGCGGAAGCCAGAGGCAGCGGCGCCGCGUGCGUGAUGACGGCCUUCGGGGGAAGAACCGCUGUCGCCGGUGACGAAGCGUGAGUGACGGUAAUGAGUAAAGAAGCACCGGCUAACUACGUG